rnacentral:tRNA from 1 species
GAGCGCGUAGCUCAGCUGGUAGAGCAACUGACUUUUAAUCAGUAGGUCUCGGGUUCGAACCCCGACGCGCUCACCA